CGCUAAUAGGGUCUAAUAGUAGUAAUAAUACCCAUACCUAAAACAUCUUUGUAUAAAAACAAACACAUUUGAAAAAGUAGUCGAUAAACCAGUCAAACACCGAUAGAUUAUUAAUAUGUUGUAACAUGACAUCACAAUUUUUUAUCUCACAUAGAUCAUUUACGCACACAUUUGAAUUUAAUUUACAGUACAUAUGGGGCUACUUUAUAGCACUAGUGCGAGAAGUAGCAUAUUAUGUUACUGUGUCGAACAUUUAAAGGGCCAUAUGUACUGUAAAACGUUGUACGAUACAUGUGCGAAUAGGUAAUUCGCAACUCGUGUCGAUUUAAAACACUCCCUUCGGUCGUGUUUUAAUUUAUCGCCACUCGUUUCGAAUUUCCUAUUUUUCGCACUUGUAUCGUAAUGUACUAUUCUGGUCGCACUUUUGAAGUUUGACAGUCGUUCUUUUACAUCCUAUUUCUAUGGUUUUCAUUUACCUCCAUUUGACGUUUGUCUUUUAACUAGUUUGCAUAAAAAUAUUUUUGUUGUCCUAAACUAACUAUAGCAAAAGUUUCGUGUGAAAUGAGCGAUAAAGAUAUUUUGGAGACGCCACCUCAUAUUCGCAAUGUUGUAUUAUUUGUAUUGUUUCUGUAUUGAGGUGUGCAAUAAAGCGUAUCUGUAUUGUAUUGUAUUCCCAAAUGUCGGCUGUAAUAUGAGGUUAGUGAAUAUAUCAUAGAAAGUUUAUAAUAUGGUUGUAGAUAAAAUAGUGUAUGUAACUGUACAUAAUUAGGAAUUAAAACACUCGUGUGGUCCUUUCAAGAAACUCACUUCGUUCGUUUCUUAAACCCACACUAGUAGUAGCAAGUGAGACCCCAUAUGGAGUAUUGCUGUCACCUUUGGGCAGGAGCACCUGGAUGCCAGCUUGGGCCCUUCGACUCAGUUCAAAGACGUGCUGUACGAAUCGUCGACGAUCCCAAACUCACAAGCGGUAUUGAACCUUUAAGUCUAAGGAGAGACUUUGCCUCCUUAUGUGUGUUCUACCGCUUGUACAAUGGGCUGUGCUCUGAAGAAUUGUUUGACAUGAUGCCCACGGCUACUUUCUAUCACCGCACUGCCCGCCGUCGGCAGGGUGUUCAUCCUCACACCCUAGAACCUAAAUGGUCACGCGCUGUGCGGUUUAAGAGGAACUUCCUCCCGCGCACGCUCCGGUUGUGGAAUGAGCUACCUGCCGAGGUUUUCCCGAGGGUCUACAGUAUGAGGUUCUUCAAAAAAGGAGUGUACAGAUUUUUAAAGGGUCGGCAACGCGCAUGUAACACCUCUGGAGUUGCAGGCGUCCAUAGGCUACGGUGACUGCUUACCAUCAGGCGGGCCGUAUGCUUGCUUGCCACCGUCGUGGUAUGAAAAAAAAAAGUAUUUAAAUGCCUCUCAUUAAUGCAGUAGACACAUAAACUACUAUUACAGGUCUUAAGACAAACAUGCAUUAUAAACAUUCUGGCAUCUUCUUUAAUAGUUUGAAGCGUUGCGACAAUAUCACAUUACUAGCAUAUGAAAUAUUGUGUUUAAAACCUGUGAAAAAGCAGCAGUCGCACACACCUUAUUGUAACUAACGUUAGGCAUUUCUUUUAGGAAUUAGAAAUCGUCUAAAGUCCCUAUCCGUCCGUCUAAACUCUUUUGACGUGAUAGGUUUUCAUUAAAGUUUAAAAUAAAUAAAUAUUAUAGGACAUUAUUACACAAAUUGACUAGUCCCACAGUAAGCUCAAUAAGGCUUGUGUUGUAGGUAUGUACCUAGACAACGAUAUAUAUAAUACAUAUAUCAUUAUAAAUACAUAGAAACACCCAUGACUCAGGAACAAAUAUCCAUGCUCAUCACACGAAUACAUGCCCUUACCAGGAUUUGAACACGGGACCAUCAGCUUCGUAGGCGGGCUUACUACCCGCUAGGCCAAACCGAUCGUCAAAUCAUCGUCAAAAAUAGGGCUUAUUUUGAGAACUCUAUUAUAAGUACAUGUUUUAUAACAAAUUCAUUUUUAUAGUUAUGAGAAUGCAUGCUAAAUAAUUGCGAAAAUACAGAACUUGAAGUACCUACUGUUGACGGAAAAAUAUUUUACAUUAUUCAAAUAGCCCCUACCUACGGUUGUAAGUCAUCGUUACAGAUAUGUUUUAAAAUGCCAAUAUCAAAGAGACAAUAAACAUUGAAGCAAUCCUCGACAUGAUUUGUAUAAAAUAACGCGUGCUUUACGAGGCUCUGUCCGUAUCCGUUCCAUUCCCCGAUAACAUAUCAUUCGCUGCGCAUAUUGUAUCGACGUCUCAAGGCGGGACAUGAAAUAUUCAGGUCUUAUACACCCCAGCAUACAUCCUCCGUCUAUACCUUCUCGUAGGGUAAGUUCCGACUACAUAUUUCGGCAAUCAUCUGUUAUUUCGGUGAGACGUAGUUUAUUCGAAAGCUUAGGCCUUGGCUCGACGCUCAUGGAUUGAUAGGCAAACAUUGGAUCGAUUUAAGUGCUCAGGAAACAUAAUAUUUUGUACGCCGAGAAGAAAAGCAUUAAGGGCUACUUUAUACAUUCCAUAUUUAACAUCUCUAAAUAUGUUAGUUUUCUAAUGUUCCACAAAUAAAUUAUCUUUAUAUACUCGUAUAUUUUCAUCAGAGUCAAAUAGCAAAAGAUAACUGGAAGAAAUUGAUUAUCAAACGAGUACAAUAUGAGCGUCAUGUGACUGUUUUAUCGAAAUCUUAAGAAGAAAGUCGGCGACCGCGCGCUACCGCGUCCUCAUACAAACGUUGUCCUCUUUUUCCUCACCGGAUAUUAACAUUAUAGAAAAUGUUUUUACACAGUUUGAUGUAUACUAACCAUAGUUUGUAUAGGGGACGGUCGCCGUCCCCUAUACUAACUAUGGUUAGUAUACAUCAAGAUCUAAUUCCCAAAAUCGUGAAUUACCAAAAUAAAAUCGAAAAUGAAUGAAAUAAAACAGGUCCAAAAAUCUGAAGGCGUAUCUUAGACUAUAUGAAUACGUACACCCUUCCACGCUCGCCACGACACGGUAUAUGACUUCCAAAAGCAAUGUACCGUAACGUUCGCCAAAGGGGCUAAUAAAUUCGCUUACCCUCUAAAUAAUAAUAGCACAAAAUAAAUAAAUUCAAUAAAGCUAUUUUAGAAUUAUUUACGCGUGAAAAGAUAUUUAGGUACUCGAGCUUGAGGCAUGGAAAAAAAAAAGUCUCUUCUUCCUCGCGUUGUCCCGGCAUUUUGCCACGGCUCAUGGGAGCCUGGGGUCCGCUUGGCAACUAAUCCCGAGAGAUAGCGUAGGCACUAGUUUUUACGAAAGCCACUGCCAUCUGACCUUCCAACCCAGAGGGUAAACUAGACCUUAUUUGGGAUUAGUCCGGUUUCCUCACGAUAUUUUCCUUCACCGAAAAGCGACUGGUAGGUAAAUAUCAAAUGAUAUUUCGUACAUAAGUUUAGUUCCGAAAAACUCAUUGGUACGAGCCGGGGUUUGAACCCGCGACAUCCGGAUUGCAAGUCGCACGCUCUUACCGCUAGGCCACCAGUGCUGUUUGGAAACAAAAAAGUAUUUGUGACAAUUAUAUAUAUUCACAAGUUGCAGUUGUUUCUGGGACCUGGAGCAGAUGUUAGAGGCAUAAUUCAGAACAAAGCCUAGAUAUCUGUCAUCUGAGUGUCGGGGGGCACGCCUGAGAUAUGCGGCCAUUCAAUAAAGUCAAUGCAGUGUUCCACCCACAAUGGACAGGUUAAUACAAUACAAAGAUAAACUCCUGCUGUUACUGGGAUGGUGAAAACUACUUACUUAUGUCUUUGUAUAUUAAUACACGUAUCCACUUUUACUUGGAAAUUACGUAAUGUCGUAACUACAUUCUUCCCUGGCAACUUUAUUAAUUUCACAGGUGUACCUCUUACACCAUUCUAUUAAUAGUUUGUUAGUAACACCUCAUUCAGAGUUAAAAUGUGUAAAAACACCCAAAAAAGCCAUCGGCUAAUGGUAUGCAAGUCUUUGUUUAACAUAUUCAUGCAGUCCGCUGAAUCACACGAGCAUGGCGGUUUGCCAAGGCUAGCUUAUCUAGCCCACCAGUGUAUCGCUACGGUUAAGCAUAGUGUAUAUUUUAGGUAUAUUUUAAGUUGCAUUACCUAAUUGUACACGCAAUUUAUUUUCAUUUUUAUAACAACUUUACAACUUACUGGUAGUUGGAGGCUGGAGCACGAAGACAUUCACUCUAAACUAUUUAUAUUAUGUACUAUCUAGAAUUUUGGCUAUUCUAUGUGUAUAUUGCAGAUGAAAACUAAAGGAAACCCUUUUUUCAUCAACUUUGUUUCGGUAUGUUUUGUGUGCGUUUGUAAUGAAAUUAUACACUUAUAUGUACUCGUACAAGUUAUGUAAUAUCUCAAGUAGGCCAUCUCAAGCCCAAGGUGUACGUAGAAUUUCAUAUACUCGUAAUAAUCUUCAUUCCCAAAACAUAUUUGAGCCGUAUUUUCUGACUUGAGGCUUACUUAGUUAUACUUUAGUUUACCAACGUAUACUUUUUCUAAAAAGUGUGUUAGGUACUAUAGCUGCGAAACGUUAAUAUAAACGAUGAAAACCAUUUCGGUUGGUUAAGUUGAAAAACUUUCCGAGCGUGUAAAAUUUCUACCUGCUUUUAUUUCUUGUUUAUCUCAGAUCUAUGUUUGUCUUAUAGAUAUGUAGUGUGAUUGAUACCAUAAGUGUAAUGAUUCGUUUUCUCUUUUAUCAUUAAGUUACUCUAUUAUUAAUAUUGCAUAUCAACACUUGAUGAAUAUUUUUCUUCUAACUUUUGUUCAUCCGAUAAUUUCUUUGUCUCUAACCUCUAAAUAUAAUUGAAAGAACCAGUCAUUUAAAUGUUAGAGGAAGAGUCCUGUGCUACUAAGACUACGCUUGAGUCUUCACUUUUAUAUUUAUCUAAUGCAAUAUAAUAGUUGAAAUAUUUAUAAUUUAUUUGCGAAUGCUGUAUGUACAACGCAUGCAUUAAGUAUGUUGAAAGCCACAGCUAAUUAGGAACGUAAUCUUGUUUACGCUCGGCUGUGAUUAGUGGAAAAAGUUUGUCGUUUGUCGCGGCUUUUAAGGUUAUGCAAGCGGUCUUAUAUGCUUCAACUUAAAUGAAAUUAAGAUUUAUGCGUGUUGAAUGCUAAGUCUGGACUCGUUUACGUACCUACUUUAAAUGUUCAUACUCUAGUUUCUAAAUAUUAAUAUUUACCCCAAGGUACUCGUAUUGCAGCGAAUAAUGAAAAAAGAUUGUGUAUAGUCAAAUACAUGUUUACAUUUUUCGUCUAGUUACAAAGCAAUAAGGUGUAAAAGUGUUAACAUAUCUUUGACGUUGACGGUACCUUUUUUAGCCAAUAAAUCGCCAUGUUUGCCCUCUCAUGCCAAAGACAUGCCUAAUUUCAUAUAAUAUCCAUUCAUUCCUGAAACACAUCUGUAGCCUUACCACGACAGUGUUAAACCGACAUAU